CGGGCGCGCUGGGGUGGGCAGACCGUCGGCCCGCCCAGGGCGGGCCCGGCCGCGCUGCGAGACGGGUUCGCGACGCGCCGCGCCCGGC
rnacentral:tRNA from 1 species